UGCAGUGCGGCUGCUAUACAUGCAGUCGAGCGGACAGAUGGGAGCUUGCUCCCUGAUGUUAGCGGCGGACGGGUGAGUAACACGUGGGUAACCUGCCUGUAAGACUGGGAUAACUCCGGGAAACCGGGGCUAAUACCGGAUGCUUGUUUGAACCGCAUGGUUCAAACAUAAAAGGUGGCUUCGGCUACCACUUACAGAUGGACCCGCGGCGCAUUAGCUAGUUGGUGAGGUAAUGGCUCACCAAGGCGACGAUGCGUAGCCGACCUGAGAGGGUGAUCGGCCACACUGGGACUGAGACACGGCCCAGACUCCUACGGGAGGCAGCAGUAGGGAAUCUUCCGCAAUGGACGAAAGUCUGACGGAGCAACGCCGCGUGAGUGAUGAAGGUUUUCGGAUCGUAAAGCUCUGUUGUUAGGGAAGAACAAGUACCGUUCGAAUAGGGCGGUACCUUGACGGUACCUAACCAGAAAGCCACGGCUAACUACGUGCCAGCAGCCGCGGUAAUACGUAGGUGGCAAGCGUUGUCCGGAAUUAUUGGGCGUAAAGGGCUCGCAGGCGGUUUCUUAAGUCUGAUGUGAAAGCCCCCGGCUCAACCGGGGAGGGUCAUUGGAAACUGGGGAACUUGAGUGCAGAAGAGGAGAGUGGAAUUCCACGUGUAGCGGUGAAAUGCGUAGAGAUGUGGAGGAACACCAGUGGCGAAGGCGACUCUCUGGUCUGUAACUGACGCUGAGGAGCGAAAGCGUGGGGAGCGAACAGGAUUAGAUACCCUGGUAGUCCACGCCGUAAACGAUGAGUGCUAAGUGUUAGGGGGGUUUCCGCCCCCUUAGUGCUGCAGCUAACGCAUUAAGCACUCCGCCUGGGGGAGUACGGUCGCAAGACUGAAACUCAAAGGAAUUGACGGGGGCCCGCACAAACGGUGGAGCAUGUGGUUUUAAUUCGAAGCAACGCGAAGAACCUUACCAGGUCUUGACAUCCUCUGACAAUCCUAGAAGAUAGGACGUCCCCUUCGGGGGCAGAGUGACAGGUGGUGCAUGGUUGUCCUCAGCUCCUGUCAUGAAAAUGUUGGGGUUAAGUCCCGCAACCAACCGCAACCCUUGGAUCUUAGUUGCCAACAAUUCAU
rnacentral:rRNA from 2 species